AGUGAACGCUGGCGGCAGGCCUAACACAUGCAAGUCGAACGGCAGCACAGGAGAGCUUGCUCUCUGGGUGGCGAGUGGCGGACGGGUGAGGAAUACAUCGGAAUCUACUCUGUCGUGGGGGAUAACGUAGGGAAACUUACGCUAAUACCGCAUACGACCUACGGGGGAAAGCAGGGGACCUUCGGGCCUUGCGCGAUUGAAUGAGCCGAUGUCGGAUUAGCGAGUUGGCGGGGUAAAGGCCCACCAAGGCGACGAUCCGUAGCUGGUCUGAGAGGAUGAUCAGCCACACUGGAACUGAGACACGGUCCAGACUCCUACGGGAGGCAGCAGUGGGGAAUAUUGGACAAUGGGCGCAAGCCUGAUCCAGCCAUACCGCGUGGGUGAAGAAGGCCUUCGGGUUGUAAAGCCCUUUUGUUGGGAAAGAAAUCCAGCUGGCUAAUACCCGGUUGGGAUGACGGUACCCAAAGAAUAAGCACCGGCUAACUUCGUGCCAGCCGCCGCAGUAA
rnacentral:rRNA from 1 species